rnacentral:rRNA from 1 species
CCCGGCACAAGCGGUGGAGUAUGUGGUUUAAUUCGAUGCAACGCGAAGAACCUUACCUGGUCUUGACAUCCCGGAGACCCUUAGGAAACUAGGGGGUGCUUCCAUCUGGAAGAAUCUGGAGACAGGUGCUGCAUGGCUGUCGUCAGCUCGUGUCGUGAGAUGUUGGGUUAAGUCCCGCAACGAGCGCAACCCUUGCCUUUAGUUGCCAGCAGUUCGGCUGGGCACUCUAAAGGGACUGCCGGUGUUAAACCGGAGGAAGGUGGGGAUGACGUCAAGUCCUCAUGGCCUUUAUGACCAGGGCUACACACGUACUACAAUGGCCGAUACAAAGGGCGGCGACACUGCGAGGUGAAGCCAAUCCCGUAAAAUCGGUCUCAGUCCGGAUUGGAGUCUGCAACUCGACUCCAUGAAGUUGGAAUCGCUAGUAAUCGUGGAUCAGCAUGCCACGGUGAAUACGUUCCCGGGCCUU